AUACGGAGGAUGCGAGCGUUAUCCGGAUUUAUUGGGUUUAAAGGGUGCGUAGGCUGUGCGUUAAGUCAGGGGUGAAAUGCCGUCGCUCAACGACGGAGCUGCCCUUGAUACUGGCGUGCUGGAGUACGGAUGCCGUUGGAGGAAUGCGUGGUGUAGCGGUGAAAUGCUUAGAUAUCACUCAGAACACCGAUUGCGAAGGCAUCUGACGAAUCCGUCACUGACGCUGAGGCACGAAAGCGUGGGGAUAGAACAGGAUUAGAUACCCUGGUAUUCCACGCCGUAAACGAUGAUGACUAACCGUCGGCGAUAGACAGCCGGUGGCCAAGCGAAAGCGAUAAGUCAUCCACCUGGGGAGUACGUCGGCAACGAUGAAACUCAAAUGAAUUGACGGGG
rnacentral:rRNA from 1 species